CGGGGGAGGCCGGAUCCUGGGCUGUGUCCCGGCGCCCUGUGCUCCGGGGCCUGCGCUAAUGGAUUCGCGCUCCCGGCUGCUUAGCCCCUC
rnacentral:pre_miRNA from 1 species